rnacentral:misc_RNA from 1 species
GUAACACCCAACAAACCCAUGUGGACACUCUUUUGCUCAAGGACAAUUUCUCAAUUACACAACUGCGGACUCAAAUUGAUGCUCUAAUGUUCUUUCUCGUGACCUAGCUUUGAUAUUUUGAUAGCCAAUGAACGCAUCAUGUUAUAUGGAUUGGUUCUGGAUUUAUUAUAAUGUUUUCAUUUGAGUGUAUUUACAUUGGUA